CAUCCCCUAAAAUAUAUACAAUUAAGCACAUUUUCACUUUUUCUCUUCCUCUUCUGCCUCUAAUUUGUUUAAUUGCACUAGUGGUUGUCCAUCAACCAUUAGAGGUGGUAUGUAAUCUAGAGCCAUACCAUUUGUUGCAAAUCUGUUUUUCUGAAAUAGGGUAGCCUAAACCUUUUUGGGUUCUUCAGUUCUGUUUCUGGUGACCUCAGAAUUCUCCGCUACUUCUAGCACUGGUUGCUCUUGGACCUGUAUUGACCUCUGCAUGGUUACUGUUCCAUGGGUUGUCUUCUUCGUUAGAUCUGAUUCUGCUCCAAUCUGAGCUGGG
rnacentral:lncRNA from 1 species